AGGACGAACGCUGGCGGCGUGCUUAACACAUGCAAGUCGAGCGGUAAGGCUCCUUCGGGAGUACACGAGCGGCGAACGGGUGAGUAACACGUGAGCAAUCUGCCCUUCUCUUCGGAAUAACCAUUGGAAACGAUGGCUAAUGCCGAAUACGACCUCCUUUCGCAUGAUCGGAGGUGGAAAGCUCCGGCGGAGAAGGAUGAGCUCGCGGCCUAUCAGCUAGUUGGCGGGUAACGCCCACCAAGGCGACGACGGGUAGCCGGCCUGGAGACGGGCCGUACCGGGCCAACGGACGUCGGGACUAGGAGACACGGCCAGGACUCCGACGGAGGCAGCAGGUGGGAAUGUGGACAAGUGGGACCGAAAGCCUAGGACUCCGAAGCAACCGCGACGGUGAGGGUGACGGUCCCGUUGGGUUACUAACCUCUUUACGAGCCGG
rnacentral:rRNA from 1 species